rnacentral:rRNA from 1 species
UGCCAGCCGCCGCGGUAAUACGGAGGGUGCAAGCGUUAAUCGGAAUUACUGGGCGUAAAGCGUACGUAGGCGGUCAAUUAAGUCGGAUGUGAAAGCCCCGGGCUCAACCUGGGAAUUGCAUUCGAUACUGGUUGACUAGAGUGUGGCAGAGGAAAGUGGAAUUCCGAGUGUAGGGGUGAAAUCCGUAGAUAUUCGGAGGAACACCAGUGGCGAAGGCGGCUUUCUGGACCGAUACUGACGCUGAGACGCGAAAGCGUGGGGAGCAAACAGGAUUAGAUA